AAACAAUAAAAUCAAAGGAAAUAAUAAUAUUCCUUUUUCAUUGUAUUAUUUAAGGUAUCAAUUUUUCUCCCUUGAGGGUGAGAGGACUGAAACCUAGCAUCCAUCCAUGGGAUUUUCAUCAAUAUUGGACUCAUUGCAUAGCCCAUAAAUAAAUAAAUAAAACGAUAUAACAAUUAAGCCUUAAUUCUAAAAUAAUGAUCAUUUUCACCAUUGAACUGUGUUCAAAUAGCAACUAGUUGUUCAAAUAGAAAUGAUAUAUGGUGAAAUGGUGCCAAUGAGCCAAAACAUAACGAAUUUUUCGCCCCCACAGAAAGCACGCAUGUGGAAAAAUAAUGUAAGAAUAAAUGACUCAAAUUAGUGUUUACCUAACCAAAAGUAAUUACUGAAUAUGCUCAACUACCAAAAAAAUAAGUAACAAAAAAUUACAAUCUCAAAAAAUAAUUGCGGAACCACUGACUAGUUAUCUCGUAAGCUUUAUGCAAGAAAUUCAUUUGCAUCUGCAGACCAGCUAUCAAAA
rnacentral:misc_RNA from 1 species